GGAAAUCUCACCAGGCCCGGACACUGGAAGGAUUGACAGAUUGAUAGCUCUUUCUUGAUUCAGUGGGUGGUGGUGCAUGGCCGUUCUUAGUUGGUUGAGUGAUUUGUCUUGUUAAUUCCGAUAAUGAACGAGACCUUAACCUGCUAAAUAGUGACGCGGUUCAUCGAACCGUGGGCCACUUCUUAGAGGGACUAUCGGAUUCAAACCGAUGGAAGUGUGAGGCAAUAA
rnacentral:rRNA from 1 species